rnacentral:tRNA from 1 species
GGUUAUGGCUCAGUGGUACAGCGAUUGCCUACCCUGCAUGAGGUACUGGGUUCGAUCCUCAGCACCA